UGAGGAACAUGACCUUCGGCGGGGGAUAGCCGGCCCAACGGCCGGGUAAUACCGCGUACGACCACAUGGGGACAUCCCUGAGUGGUGAAAGCAGCAAUGCGCCGAUGGAGUGCCUCGCGGCCUAUCAGCUAGUUGGUGAGGUAACGGCUCACCAAGGCGACGACGGGUAGCUGGUCUGAGAGGAUGGCCAGCCACAUUGGGACUGAGACACGGCCCAAACUCCUAGGAG
rnacentral:rRNA from 1 species